rnacentral:rRNA from 1 species
UGCCAGCAGCCGCGGUAAUACGGAGGGCGCAAGCGUUGUUCGGAAUCAUUGGGCGUAAAGCGCGUGUAGGCGGCUUGGCAAGUCGGACGUGAAAUCCCGGGGCCCAACCCCGGAACUGCGUUCGAAACUGCCUCGCUAGAGUCCCGGAGAGGAAGGCGGGAUUCCCGGUGUAGAGGUGAAAUUCGUAGAUAUCGGGAGGAACACCAGUGGCGAAGGCGGCCUUCUGGACGGUGACUGACGCUGAGGCGCGAAGGCGUGGGUAGCGAACGGGAUUAGAUAC